GCGGCGAUAGCUCAGUGGGUAAAGCGACAGGUGAGAAGAUAGCGAUUACUCCGAGAGCUACUAUCCUCGGCGGGUUCGAAUCCCGCCUGUGGCA
rnacentral:tRNA from 1 species